CUCAAGGAGUUAAAAAUAGAAUUACCAUAUGCUCCAGCAAUUUACUUCUGGGAAUAUAUCCAAAUGUAUGUCUGCAUCUCCAUGUUUUCAUAAUAGCAUUAUUUACAAUAGGCAAGACAUGGAAACAAUCUGUGUCUAUCAGUGGACAAAUGGAUAAAGAAGUUGUAAAGUAGGGAAUCCUACUGUUUGGCACAACGUGGAUGAAACUUGAAGUCAACAUGAUAAGUGAAAAAAGUAAGAUAGAGAAAGACAAAUAUUGUAGGAUCUCACUUAUAUGAGGAAUUCAAAUGAACAAAAAAGCCCAUGGAAAAAUAAAUCAGAUUGCCUCUUAAAAGAGGCAGAAGGUGGAAGGAGGGGACAUUGGGGGAAGGUGGUCAAAGAUACCUCAACAGAUACAGAUACCACAGAAGCCCUCCUUCCUUCAAACAGUCUGAUGCCACAAUGAUUGUAAAUAGGAGAGAAGUGACAGGAUCCAUGAGGCUGAGCAAGUAUGUACAGAAAGACAUUUUCUACAGGGAAUAUAAAUCAGAUCAGACUAAGUAAAUGCUUAUGUCAAUCAGAUCAUGAAGAAACACUACAUCAGUUUUAGGCAAAAUGCAUUUUGUGCAUUGAGUGGCAGUGCAGUUAAAUUGCCAUCUGUAUUUACACACACAAAUUGCCUCAUAUACAGUAUUUGUGUGUGUAUGAAUUAUAUUCAUAUGUAGAUGUGUGUGCACAUGUAUUCACAUGUUUUAUUGACAGUACAGCUAGCACUCCAUGGUUUUCUCCAACUAGAAACCAGAUUAUUUGAUCAGGAAUCUAUUGAUCAGAACCUAGGUCUGCAUUACACAUGGAUUUUGUUGUUUCAUAUCACCCACAAUUCACAUUGAGCUGCUAAUGUCUUCAAAAUAUGAUUGAAAUAUUAAAUAUAGCAUAUUCUAAAUUUUUUGCGAGUCCUCCAAUUUAAUCUUUACCCAGAAUUUUAUUAACACUUUUACUAUUGCAUUAGGCAUCUCUUCUCUUAUUUUUUUCUUCAACUGGGCAGAACUAAGACUGAUACUGUACUUGUUUUAUAAUUAUAACUGUGUUUAUAGAAAAGGUUUUCUGUGUUUAUCUGAAGAAAAGAGGCCUUUUAUAGCCUAUUAUCUGAAAUAUAUCCCCUAUCAUUCAAAAGCCUACACUUACUCCUUUUUUUUUAACUCUUACUUUUUUAAAUGAAUAAUUAUAUGUAUAGCAGUUUUGUUAAAAUAAACCAGUUAUCAUUUUA